rnacentral:rRNA from 1 species
AGAACGAACGCUGGCGGCGUGCCUAACACAUGCAAGUCGAACGAGAAAGGGGCUUCGGCUCCGAGUAAAGUGGCGCACGGGUGAGUAACACGUAGGUAACCUGCCUCUAAGAUUGGGAUAACUUGUCGAAAGACGAGCUAAUACCAAAUAAGACCACGGUCUCCUCGGGGACAGAGGUCAAAGGUAGCCUCUAUUUAUAAGCUAUCGCUGAGAGAUGGGCCUGCGUACCAUUAGCUUGUUGGUGAGGUAACGGCUCACCAAGGCCAAGAUGGUUAGC